rnacentral:misc_RNA from 1 species
AACGCACGAGACCUGCGGACCUGCGGAGGGAUCAUUAAAGAGUUUAACUACUCAAACCAUUGUGAACCUUACCUCAACCGUUGCUUCGGCGGGCGGGCCCGGGCCAAGCCCGGCGCCCCCCCGGCCCCUCGCGGGCGCCCGCCGGAGGUUAACCGAACCCUUGAAUUGUAUGGCCUCUCUGAGUCUUCUGUACUGAAUAAGUCAAAACUUUUAGCAACGGAUCUCUAGAUCGGAAGAGCA